UGAGUACGAGCGGCUACGGCCGCGAAGUGGAUGAUGUCAAGCUUCCAAGAAAAGCCCUAUACCCGUUAAGGCAUGAUGGCCUGUACCCGAAACCGACACAGGUGGGGUGGUAGAGAAUACCGAGGGGCGCGAGGUAACUCUCUCUAAGGAACUCGGCAAAAUGGCCCCGUAACUUCGGGAGAAGGGGUGCCACCGCGAGGUGGUCGCAGUGAAGAGGCCCAGGCGACUGUUUACCAAAAACACAGGUCUCCGCUAAGUCGCAAGACGAUGUAUGGGGGCUGACGCCUGCCCAGUGCCGGAAGGUUAAGGAAGCUGGUCAGCGCAAGCGAAGCUGGCGACUGAAGCCCCGGUGAACGGCGGCCGUAACUAUAACGGUCCUAAGGUAGCGAAAUUCCUUGUCGGGUAAGUUCCGACCCGCACGAAAGGCGUAACGAUCUGGGCGCUGUCUCGGAGAGAGGCUCGGCGAAAUAGAAUUGUCUGUGAAGAUGCGGACUACGUGCACCCGGACAGAAAGACCCUAUGAAGCUUUACUGUAGCUUGGUAUUGUGCUCGGGCUCGGAAUGCGCAGGAUAGGUGGGAGGCUUUGAUCCAUUGCUUGCGGGUGAUGGUGAGCCACUGGUGAGAUACCACUCUUUCCGAGCUAGAGUUCUAACAGCAACCCGUUAUCCGGGUGCUGGACAGUAUCGGGUGGGCAGUUUGACUGGGGCGGUCGCCUCCUAAAAGGUAACGGAGGCGCGCAAAGGUCUGCUCAGGCUGGUUGGAAAUCAGCCGACGAGUGUAAAAGCAGAAGCAGGCUUGACUGUGAGACCUACAAGUCGAACAGGGAGGAAACUCGGCUUUAGUGAUCCGACGGUUCUGCGUGGAAGGGCCGUCGCUCAACGGAUAAAAGUUACUCUAGGAUAACAGGCUGAUCUCCCCCAAGAGUUCACAUCGACGGGGAGGUUUGGCACCUCGAUGUCGGCUCAUCGCAACCUGGGGCUGAAGUCGGUCCCAAGGGUUGGGCUGUUCGCCCAUUAAAGCGGUACGCGAGCUGGGUUCAGAACGUCGUGAGACAGUUCGGUCCAUAUCCGGUGCACGCGCAGGAAUAUUGAGAGGAUUUCUCCCUAGUACGAGAGGACCGGGAGGAACGCACCUCUGGUGUGCCAGUUAUCGUGCCAACGGUAAACGCUGGGUAGCCAUGUGCGGAGUGGAUAACCGCUGAAAGCAUCCAAGUGGGAAGCCCACCUCAAGAUGAGUAUUCCCAUGGGGUAACCCAGUAAGGUCACGGGAAGAACACCCGUUGAUAGGCUCUACGUGGAAGCGCAGUAAUGUGUGAAGCGGAGGAGUACUAAUAGACCGAGGGC
rnacentral:rRNA from 1 species